rnacentral:tRNA from 1 species
UAGAAUAUAACAUAAUUUAAUGUGCUUCAUUUACACUGAAGAAAUACUUUUAUAUAAGUUAUUCUAAUAU